ensembl:lncRNA
CGGGAAAUAACUUUGUCCUGCUAUAUUUGAACUUCCAGCCAAGUUCACUCGAUGCACAGGGAGUUGCAGUUUUGCUUUGUGAACAUGGGCUGCAUUCUCUGACAAAUCGUGACAAUGGUAAGAAAGUUUUGUUUCAUUUUGUUUCAUUAUGGAAGUUCCCUCUGUGUCUUCUUUUGGUUCAUGUUGAAUGCCAUGGGUGUGUGCUGCUAUCCAUUGCAGUGAAAGAUUCUUUUUGUGUUGGAGUGCUUUUGCAUAAAUGCUUCAGUAAUUCUAACUUGAGAUGGAGCAAGAGCUGAUAGACCUGGGGCAGAACUGGCAUGGCUGAGGAUCCACUGGCAGUCUACUGGGCAGCAUCUCAGUGUCUAAGGGAGCUCUAAGAGGGAUUGGUUGUUUGUAUUUGUCGGGAAUGCUACGUGUUCCCUCUACUCCCUUAAGCAGCAACAACACGAUGCAUGUUUUAUACGUGUCAUGGAAAGACAGGAUUACAAUGUGUUCUGUCAGUUUCUGCACUGCCUCUGUAGUGGGGUUCUUUGCACGGUGCCCAGUUCAUUUGGUGUCCCAUGUGCUGGGUGAUCAUUUGGGCCAUGCUUAUGCGUGUGGGGGACGCAGAAGUGCAGAGCUGCAGGGCUCAGUGUGUGGGGCAGUUUUCUGGGUGUUCCAUUCAGUAGCACCUGUGAGUCUGCACAGCCGGUGUCCUUGUGGCUGGAGAAAGGAAGGGCUGUGUGCAAUGGCCUUGAGCUCGAGCGGGAAGCUGCAUUUGCAAUUGACAUCCCCCAUUCCCAGAAUGCUGAGUGAGAAGGAAGGUUUGCCUGCAUGUUCUGUGCAGGAAAGUGUCAGAGAGAAAUGUGCAGCAUGUUUUGAGAGCUGCUGUGGUGUGCUAUGUGUGGAGCCGUGCAUUUCAAGGGCUGCAGGCAUUGCAUUCUUGCUCUGCUGAGUUGUGCUUCUACCUGUGAAUGCUGUGUGUUUUGCCUCCUGGUCAUGACGUCUCUCCAUCCAGAUGUGCCCUUCUGCAGCCACUCUGAUGCAUUCUGCUGCAGCUCAGCUGUUCAAUUGGGUCAUUGCUGAGUGCAGCAGCCAGCAACACAGCUGCACUCGUGGUGUUAGGACACACCAUAACACAUAGGCAUGCAGACCUCUGUUUUGCCUGGGCUGCAGUGUGCUAAUAGGAAUAGUAUUGGUCUGCAUAUCGAUGCACUGCUCUGAAAGUAAUGCCUCCUAUUUAUUCCCAUAGAAACUUCAACAAUGAGUUCAAUAACUGUGGUUUGGAGCAGAUUCACAUCUACAAAAUGCUAUUUUUUAUCAUAGUCACCAUCACAGCCAUGCAUAUUGACCAGUGGUGCACAGGUGUCUGUAUACUGUGCUCAUAGUAAUCUUCAGUAGUCGAGGUGACCCUCUGUUGCUACUGCUAAAACACAGCACUCACUGGUUCACGGUGCUCACAUCCACUGACUGGACUGCAUAAACAUUCAGCAAAUGUUGCUCAAAUCCAUGAUGGAAUAUUUUCUGCAUGGAGAAAUUCAUUGAUAAUUGGAGUUUCUCACAUUCUUCUAUGUCAGAUGGCAUUUUGUCAGACUGCCCCUCUGCUGUCAUCUGCCAAACGGUAACAAAAGGCAAUAGGAUAUUGGUGGGAAGGUUCAACCUCGGCUGCCAUACCUUCAAAAUCUGCCUUGUCUAUCUUUGGGCUUCACAAUAAAAUGGGAGGCAAUGCUUUCA